GGAACUGGGACCCCAAAAAACCCCAAAUUCACCCCAAAAAACCCCAAAAUCCCCAAAUUCCCACCCCAAAUCCCACCCAAAAUCCCCCAAAUCCCCCCCAAACCCGCCCAGGGGCUGCUGAUCUUCCUGUGCCACUGCCUGGGGCACCCAAAGGUUCGGGGCUGGUACCGCUCGCUGCUGUGCCCGCGCUGGCGCCCGUACUCGGAGUUCACCAGUAACACCAGUAACACCAGUAACACCAGUAUGGGCCGCGCCCGGGGCUCCCAGUUACCCCAGUCACACCAGUGACACCAGGUGCCGAAAAUUCCAGGAAAAACCAAAAAAUUUCGGGAAAUUCGAUGGAAUUUUGGGAAAAUCGAUGGAAUUUUGGGGAAUUCGAUGGAAUUUUGGGGGAAUUCGAUGGAAUUUUGGGAAAAUCGAUGGAAUUUUGGGGGAAUUCAAUGGAAUUUUGGGGAAUUCGAUGGAAUUUUGGGGGAAUUCGAUGGAAUUUUGGGAAAAUCGAUGGAAUUUUGGGGGAAUUCGAUGGAAUUUUGGGGGGAAUCGAUGGAAUUUUGGGAAAAUCGAUGGAAUUUUGGGGAAUUCGAUGGAAUUUUGGGAAAUUCGGGAUUUUCACCCAGCUCAGGGAGCUCAGUAAAGAAAAUGGAGUUUGGAUUUGGGGCGAAUUCCUGGGAUUUUGGGCUGAAAUCCCCGAGAUUCAGGGAAUUCCAGGGAUUUCGGGGAUUCCAGGGCAUUUUUGGGGUGAAAUUCCCAUUUUUGGGGUGAAAUUCCCAUUUUUGGGGUGGAAUUCCAGGGAUUUUGGGGUAAAAUU